rnacentral:lncRNA from 1 species
CCGACACCUUCUUCCCAGUGCGGCCCGGGCUGCGGCCCCGGGUCCGAGGAGGCCCGGGGAGACCCGGAGGAGGUCAGAAGGCCUUCAGGGUCCCCGGGAUGGGGUGGAAACUGAGACCCAGAGAGCCGUGACUUGACUGAUCCCACAGCCAGGAAAUGGUGGAGCCUGGAUUUGAACCCCAGCUUUUAAGAAGAAGGUGCCACUGUCCUGGAAGAACUCUCAGGACAGCAUUAGUGUCUCAGGGAUCCCCCUAAUCGGAGGGGCCUUAAGGCAACCUAAUCAUGAUUGUCACUGAAGAUCCAGGAGGGCUUCCUGGAGGAGGAGGCAGCUCCAUUCUGAAAUGCCAAGGGUACAGCUUUAUUGGGACAGCCAGUGUCUCUGAAUAUGUAGGUUUUGCACAGAGCUUGUACUGCCCCAGGGCCUGUACACUGCCUGUCCCCUCUGCCUUGUGCACUCUUUCCCUAGAUGUCCAAAUGGCUCCUUUCCUCACCUACCCCAAAUCUCAAUUCCAGUGUUUCCCCAGCCUCCCCUCAUUUCAGUAAUCACUCUGCAGUGAGCUAGGAUUGCGCCACUGCACUCCAGCUUGGAUAAGAGAACAAGACCCUGUCUCUUAACUAAAUACAUAAAUAAAAAUAAUUCCCCUCUUCAUCCCUCUUUACCCUGUUUUGAUGGUUUUGUUCAACUUUUCACCAAUAGGACUUUCUCUUAUGCAUUUACUCGUUUCUCUUCCAAUCCCUCCC